CAGCCAAUUCAUAGUCACUAAAAACUAUCCAUGAAUGUGUGAGUUAUAUUAAUGCAUCAUACUUGAGUUUGUUUGGAUGCAAAAACAUGUAAAGAAAUUAUUUUAAUUUGAUUUAAUCUAUUGGGUCUAUCAUUUGUCGUGGAUACCAUGACGUAGCUUUGUUAAAACUCCAGACAAUAGAGAGAUCCACAAUGUGCAACAAUGUAAUGUAAUAUAUGUGUAAUUUAUAUUGAGCUUUGACAAAAAUGUUUGUAGAUCUAGCAGAGAAACUACAAACAUAUAAUGCAUUCAGAUAAGAACCGGGAAAAUGAUACAGAUAUUUUCCUAGAGCAAUAUUUUCUUGUUGGGAAAAAUAGCAUAAGCUCACAGGAUUUGUUUCAUUAGCAAGAAAAGCCCAGCAACUUCCUCUAGGGGAGCGGCACGAGGGUUUUUUUGACAUCCCGAAUCAUUCGCAGGAUGGGUCCCGGAUAGUCACGUUCUGAAAAGGGUCGUCAGAGGGCCCUCUAAUUUUAGCACGGGAAGGUUUACCAUACUGGGAGAGGGAUUGGAAAGUGCAGUCACAUGACGGCCUUGUUGGCGAGCCAGCCAAAGAGACAUCCUGCAGGUCACCUCUAGAGUGUUCUUUGUUUGAGAAUACGGGGGCCUGCAUUUACAAAAGUAAGGAAUGCAAUAUCAGAUAAAGAUUUCUACAAACCAAACGGUCCCAAGUUGUAUAAAAAAUCUUCAAAUAAGUGUUUAUUAUAUAAUGGCAAAGUCAGCUGCUCGUGUCCUUGAAAUGCACAGUUUUUUGUUGCACAAGUAAAGAAGGACCGUAAAUCAGGUUGACUUGGCUGCACAAUGACAUAAUCUUUUGAGUUUCGCCAUGAACAUUUGACCUUUUGGUAUAUAAACACUGUACACAUGCUGCCCACCUUCACUUGCACUCUCAGAUGUCACCCUGUAAACUCCAAGGUCAAAGCUAUUUAUUAAGUCCUCGUCCAGACGAAGUUAAGAAGAAACAAUGACUUAUUGAGCUGCCACAUUACAACCCAUCAAUAAGCAAGAAACUAAAUUAUGUGUUUGAAGUUAGUUGCUUAGCUGCAGCUGUAAUCAAAAUUUCAUUCAGAUCUGAAGGUUUAAUGUUAUUUUUACUGUCAAAUUGCAGCUGCUUUUUCUCUUUUGUCUAAUUGCACAGCAACAGAGACAUCUUAAUCUGCUCAAAGGAGUUUAGGAUAUCAUUUGAUGCUUUAGAAAGUACUUCCCCAAGAUUGCUGGACUUGUUCUGUAUCCAUGGAUAUAAAAGAAUUAAACAUAGUCCUGGUCCGUGAUGUAUGUGCUCCAUCUACUGGCCUCUUUUAGAAGGACCUGAGAACGAGAUGGUGAGCCAACACUGACUUCUGCUGGAGGAUUUCUGCACAUUUGAUUUCAGAUUAACGAUUUGUUCAUCUAGCAACUCCAACGCAAACGUAAUUAUCCCCAUAUAAAUAUAGGUCUCAAAGCAGGGGCCACCACACACUUAAGCAUUCUUUACUGAAAGCAUAAUAUUAGUAAAUACAAAUCCCAACACAAGCUGUUAACGUGCAAUGCAAGGUGUGACAAGUAACAUGACAUUUGGACUUCAGCCAUCAUUAUCAUAACCAGUCACCUACCGUUAAAAUAUCAUCACCAUUGCAGGCUUUGAGUUGGUUGUAGGAUAUAUUUAUUUACUACAACCCUUAAUGCGUUCCCCCUUAUUACAACCUUUAAUAUGUAAAAAUAUUUAUGUAGUUAUUGAUCCCAUAUUUGGGAUCAGGAGGGCGCAAAAUCGAUUGAUACUUUAAAAAUGACAAAACUCAGCAUUUCAGCGUCCCUUUUAUUUAACAUAUUCUUUAAAAAACAGGCAUUCACUUCAGCUCAUCUUACACAAUUCUGGUCAUUCAGAUGAUACUGAUGUGGCUGUUAUUACUUACUAUCUAUUCCCAUUUUACGUUAUUGUAUUUCAAUUAGUAUUUUAUUUUCAUUUUGCUUUCCAUUUUAAAUACUUUUUAAAUUUUCACUGCCAUUUAAAUUGUUGUUAUUUAUAUUAAUUUAGAAAAGUAUUACUAUUAUCAUUAGUGUUGUUAUUGUCAGAAGUUGCCAAUUGUUCGUGAAAAUGGUGUUGCCUAACAACAACCAAUAGGAUUCGCCUAUAGGACCAAAGUGAGGUUGCAUGCUCAGACAAUGCAAAUUCACAUUCUCAAACGCUUCUCCAUCAAAAAUGAUGAAAAUAAAAUCUACUCCUUGCUUCAUUCGUGUGUAACAUGAUUAAAGCACAGCUUCAAAAUGACUACUUAUACUCACUAGUCCAUAAUAUGAAUAGAGGGAUAGCUGUUGACCCAUUUAUUUGACCUGUCCUGAUACACAAUGAUGUUGUCAGGGAUUAACACACAAUAAUGCUAAAAUGUCCAUUGGGGUCCUAUUUGAGAAAAGGAUCCCGGAGACAGCAAAACAGCGUAAAACAACAACAAGACAAUACAAAUGCAAUUUACAAUCAGACAAAACAAAGUUGUUUGAGCUUCUUCUAAGGAGUCUUGGAAGUUGACUUUAAAACAAUCUUCACCUCUAAAUUAACCAAUUACAAUAGAUUGUUUUUCAGGAACUCCACUUACUGUAACUAAGUAAGAAAGAAAACGAAACAGAAACGGAAAAUAGCUACUUGUAACUUCACUGAUUUUCUCCAAGCAAAUAUUCAGCAUUUUUUCUUAAACUUAUAAAACAAUUAAUUGAUUAACAAAGUAGUUUCCAGUUCCAGUUUUAAGAUCGAGAUAUGGUACAAAAUUUAAAGUUGAACGUGUUUUCUCUUUAAGGGUGCAGAUGAAUGUUGUGUGUUCACUCUUACAGGAGCAGUGUUAUUUGGUGUGUAGAAAUGGUCGGCAGGUGGAAUGUGCCGCAGCAAAGCCUCGCUGGAGGGAAAGACCGUCUUGAUCACCGGAGGCAACACUGGGAUUGGCAAAGAAACAGCCGUUGACCUGGCUAGAAGGGCGACUGCGCCCCUAAAACCACUGCUCCACAGGGUCUGGAUGAUGAAGCUGCCAAGAAGCUGUGGGAUCUGAGUGCCUCUAUGGUCGGUCUGAUAUAAUCACAGUGACAUGGAUGAUGUUCGUCAUCAUCUCCAUAGUACCAUCGGCCUGCCCGGGGAAGGACCCAUGCUCUUUUUAAUGAGCAUCUGUGUUCCUGCUGACAGCUGAGCUCCUACUCAAUGUGACAAAUGAGUACAUAGACAGAAAGUCACAAGUGAUAGACAUUUAUUCCGAAUAUACAACAAACUAAUUGCAAAAAUACUAUGGAUUUUUCUCAAACAGUAGCAAUACUUCACAGCUAAGUUACAUGGAAGCUGUAUGAUCUUUAGUUUCGAUUGCCAUUAGCGUGAAAUGACAUUUUUACUGACAAGUUUCACCAAUGCCUGUGUUGACUAAGGGCUCCAAUGCCAUUAUUUGUUAGAGACAUUACGUGUAGAAUUACAUGUGCUUUGAAGGUUUUUGUAACACUGUUGAUAGCAACAUUUUCAUUUUCUUUUCUAUUGGGCAAUAAAGUGCUGUUAUACAUGGCCCAUCAUUUUACCUCUUUGUUAGGGCAUAUUUUUCAUUCAUUCACAUCACGUUUAUUCAGUUUGUUUCAUGUGAGUCCAACAAUAUUGAAACGAAACACAUUUUGGUUACAUUGAAAAUGCUUCUAAUACAUUAAAUGUAUCUGUCCACUGUU